rnacentral:tRNA from 1 species
GGGAUUGUAGUUCAAUUGGUUAGAGCACCGCCCUGUCACGGCGGACGUUGCGGGUUCGAGUCCCGUCAGUCCCG